ACCCGAUCCCAUCCCGAACUCGGCCGUUAAACUCCUCAGCGCCAAUGGUACUGUGUCUCAAGACCCGGGAGAGUAGGUCGUCGCCG
rnacentral:rRNA from 1 species